rnacentral:rRNA from 1 species
GAUGAACGCUGGCGGCGUGCCUAAUACAUGCAAGUCGAGCGAACAGACGAUGAGCUUGCUCCUUUGACGUUAGCGGCGGACGGGUGAGUAACACGUGUAUAAUCUACCUAUAUUACUGGGAUAACUUCGGGAAACCGGAUCUAAUACCGUAUAACAUGUUGAACCGCAGGGUUCAACAGUGAAAGACGGUCUUGCUGUCACUUAUAGAGGGAUCCCGGCCGCAUUAGCUAGUUGGUAAGGUAACGGCUUACCAAGGCAACGAGGCGUAGCCGACCGGAGAGGGUGAUCGGCCACACUGGAACUGGGCCACGGUCCAGGCUCCUACGGGAGGCAGCAGUAGGGAAUGGUCGGCAGUGGGCGAAAGCCUGACGGAGCAAGGCCGCGUGAGUGAAGAAGGUCUUCGGAUCGUAAAGCUCUGUUAUUAGGGAAGAACAGAUGUGUAAGUAAACAUGGCCGUCUUGACGGUACCUAAUAAGAAAGCAACGGCUAACUACGUG